CAUUGAGCAGGGUCCCGUAACUAACAUGGUCCAUCUGAAAUCCUUGUGCUACGACCUUGUCAUGAAAGUGCAGUGAUUUCUUGACCUCACCCUUGAGACACAGACCUUUCAUGAGUGUAUUCAAGGUUAUGGUAUUCGGCUGAUAACCUAAUUUUAGAAUUUUGCCCAAUACAG